GAUGAACGCUGGCGGCGUGCCUAAUACAUGCAAGUCGAGCGAACAGACGAGGCGCUUGCUCCUCUGACGUUAGCGGCGGACGGGUGAGUAACACGUGGAUACCCUACCUAUAAGACUGGGAUAACUUCGGGAAACCGGCGCUAAUACCGGAUAAUAUAUUGAACCGCAUGGUUCAAUAGUGAAAGACGGUUUUGCUGUCACUUAUAGAUGAUCCGCGCCGCAUUAGCUAGUUGGUAAGGUAACGGCUUAUCAAGGCAACGAUGCGUAGCCGACCUGAGUGGGUGAUCGGCCACACGGGAACGUAGACACGGUCCAUAGUACUGCGGGAGGGAGCAGUAGGGAAUCUGCCGCAAUGGUCGAGAGCUUGACGGAGCAACGCCGCGUGAGUGAUGAAGAUCUUCGGAUCGUAAAACUCUGUUAUUAGGGAAGAACAAAUGUGUAAGUAACUAUGCACUUCUUGACGGUACCUAAUCAGAAAGCCACGGCUAACUACGUG
rnacentral:rRNA from 1 species